rnacentral:rRNA from 1 species
AGCAGUCGCCACGGGAAUACGUAGGGUGCAAGCGUUAAUCGGAAUUACUGGGCGUAAAGCGUGCGCAGGCGGUUCGCUAAGACAGAUGUGAAAUCCCCGGGCUUAAUCUGGGAACUGCAUUUGUGACUGGCGGGCUAGAGUAUGGCAGAGGGGGGUAGAAUUCCACGUGUAGCAGUGAAAUGCGUAGAGAUGUGGAGGAAUACCGAUGGCGAAGGCAGCCCCCUGGGCCAAUACUGACGCUCAUGCACGAAAGCGUGGGGAGCAAACAGGAUUAGAUACCCCCGUAGUCCCUGUCUCUUAUAC